UACGGGGGGAGCAAGCGUUGUUCGGAUUUACUGGGCGUAAAGGGCGCGUAGGCGGUCGUGACAAGUCACUUGUGAAAUCUCCGGGCUUAACUCGGAACGGUCAAGUGAUACUGCUUUGCUAGAGUGCGGAAGGGGCAAUCGGAAUUCUUGGUGUAGCGGUGAAAUGCGUAGAUAUCAAGAGGAACACCUGAGGUGAAGACGGGUUGCUGGGCCGACACGUGACGCUGACAGCGCGAAAGCCAGGGGAGCAAACGGG
rnacentral:rRNA from 1 species